UACGAAGGGGGCUAGCGUUGCUCGGAAUCACUGGGCGUAAAGGCGCGUAGGCGGCCAUUCAAGUCGGAGGUGAAAGCCCAGGGCUCAACCCUGGAAUUGCCUUCGAUACUGUCUGGCUAGAGACCGGAAGAGGUAAGUGGAACUGCGAGUGUAGAGGUGAAAUUCGUAGAUAUUCGCAAGAACACCAGUGGCGAAGGCGGCUUACUGGUCCGGUACUGACGCUGAGGUGCGAAAGCGUGGGGAGCAAACAGG
rnacentral:rRNA from 1 species